CUAACAUUAAUGUUAUCAUUCCUCAACAACUCUUCCUCUCUGACAACAGUCAGCUACCAAAGCGACAAUAGCUACUUCAUCUGGAAAAAAUAAUAUUGACAAGUCAAAAAAAUGACAACCUAUAUUUAGCUAUUAAAACGACUGACUUAACUUGCCAAGAAGUUGCAGUUGGUUCUCACUUCUCUUCUCAAUGAAUGUGAAAUACCUUCUUAUAGGAAGUCAGGUGGUUGAUGAUAACAACCCAUAUCAAAUAUUCAAAGAGGUAUUCAAAUAAGGGUAUCCACCAAUCCAAAACAAGGACUAGGCAGAAAGUUCACAUUGUUAGGAUAGAGACUAGAUCAUAUUGUCAUUAUAUAGAGUAACUCUGACUAAAUAUGGCUGGGUUUAUAUCUGGUGGGUACUGGGUAGUAAAUGGCUGUGUGAGGCUUUAUCCUAAACCAUUCCAGAGUUUGUGGACAAUGAUCCACAUUGUUAGGAUAGAGACUAGACCAUCUUGUCAUUAUAUAGAGUAUCUCUGACUAAAUAUGGCUGAGUUUAUAUCUGGUGGGUACUGGGUAGUAAAUGGCUGUGUGAGCCUUUAUCCUAAACCAAGAGUGACACCUGGUGGUUACUAUAUGCAUUACAUGCAGGUUUCUCGUAAAGCAAAACCAAUGAAAGCAAAUACUGCAAUCCAGCCACAUAUAUGUUUAGUUGUCAAAAAACAGAUGAAAGACACUGUAGACACAUCUAUAUUUUUUAAAUACAACUUUUUUGUUGUUGUUGUUACAAUUACACAAACAUUUGUGGCAUUCUUCAAUUAUAUAAAAAAUAAAAAUCAACAGCACACAACCAAUGGCUCAAAUUAAAAGUUUUAAAACAUUUGUACCCAAAGUAGUAUAUCCCCAAUACUGUCCUUUACAUCCAUUUGACUAUGCUGGUUUUUACACGAUCAAUUGAUCAUCUCUGAGUUAUUGAUCAAUGCGCUCAAAUCAAUGGAAGUGGAAAUAAACUAUUGUGUAGCAGUGAAGUGGAUGUGUCAACCAGCAUUCGGUUCAACUCAACAACGUCAUGUCAUCGGCCUGGGAGACAUCUAUCAGUUUGUGCCGUCAUUGACAAUGACAGCAAUGGAGUUGGCAAGACAACACAAACAGAUCUGGGACCCGCCUGGUGGUCUUUUCAACCAGUUUGGCUCACCGGGAGGGCUGACGAGUCAUUACACAGGCCAGACAGAAUUCAUUACUGCAAUGAUACGGAUAAUGACAAGUAUAGGGACUAGGAGAGUACAGGGACUAGGAGAGUACAGGGACUAGGAGAGUACAGGGACUAGGAGAGUACAGGGACUAGGAGAGUACAGGGACUAGGAGAGUACAGGGACUAGGAGAGUAUAGGGACUAGGAGAGUAUAGGGACUAGGAGAGUACAGGGACUAGGAGAGUACAGGGACUAGGAGAGUACAGGGACUAGGAGAGUACAGGGACUAGGAGAGUACAGGAAAGAAACAGGGACUAGGAGAGUACAGGGACUAGGAGAGUAUAGGGACUAGGAGAGUACAGGGACUAGGAGAGUACAAGGACUAGGAGAGUAUAGGGACUAGGAGAGUACAGGAAAGAAACAGGGACUAGGAGAAAACAGGGACUAGGAGAGUACAGGGACUAGGAGAGUACAGGGACUAGGAGAGUACAGGGACUAGGAGAGUACAGGGACUAGGAGAGUAUAGGGACUAGGAGAGUAUAGGGACUAGGAGAGUACAGGAAAGAAACAGGGACUAGGAAAAUACAGGAAAGUACAGGGACUAGGAAAGUACAGGGACUAGGAAAGUACAGGAAAGUACAGGGACUAGGAGAGUACAGGGACUAGGAGAGUACAGGAAAGUACAGGGACUAGGAAAAUACAGGAAAGUACAGGGACUAGGAAAGUACAGGGACUAGGAGAGUACAGGGACUAGGAGAGUACAGGAA
ensembl:lncRNA